GAGCGAACAGAUGAGAAGCUUGCUUCUCUGAUGUUAGCGGCGGACGGGUGAGUAACACGUGGGUAACCUACCUAUAAGACUGGGAUAACUCCGGGAAACCGGGGCUAAUACCGGAUAAUAUUUUGAACCGCAGGGUUCGAUAGUGAAAGACGGUUUCGGCUGUCACUUAUAGAUGGACCCGCGCCGUAUUAGCUAGUUGGUAAGGUAACGGCUUACCAAGGCGACGAUACGUAGCCGACCUGAGAGGGUGAUCGGCCACACUGGAACUGAGACACGGUCCAGACUCCUACGGGAGGCAGCAGUAGGGAAUCUUCCGCAAUGGGCGAAAGCCUGACGGAGCAACGCCGCGUGAGUGAUGAAGGUCUUCGGAUCGUAAAACUCUGUUGUUAGGGAAGAACAAAUUUGUUAGUAACUGAACAAGUCUUGACGGUACCUAACCAGAAAGCCACGGCUAACUACGUGCCAGCAGCCGCGGUAAUACGUAGGUGGCAAGCGUUAUCCGGAAUUAUUGGGCGUAAAGCGCGCGUAGGCGGUUUCUUAAGUCUGAUGUGAAAGCCCACGGCUCAACCGUGGAGGGUCAUUGGAAACUGGGAAACUUGAGUGCAGAAGAGGAGAGUGGAAUUCCAUGUGUAGCGGUGAAAUGCGCAGAGAUAUGGAGGAACACCAGUGGCGAAGGCGGCUCUCUGGUCUGUAACUGACGCUGAUGUGCGAAAGCGUGGGGAUCAAACAGGAUUAGAUACCCUGGUAGUCCACGCCGUAAACGAUGAGUGCUAAGUGUUAGGGGGUUUCCGCCCCUUAGUGCUGCAGCUAACGCAUUAAGCACUCCGCCGUGGGGAGUACGACCGCAAGGUUGAAACUCAAAGGAAUUGACGAG
rnacentral:rRNA from 1 species